UACGUAGGGGGCAAGCGUUGUCCGGAAUCAUUGGGCGUAAAGCGCGUGUAGGCGGCUCGGUAAGUCCGCUCUGAAAGCCCGGGGCUCAACCCCGGGAGGCGGGUGGAUACUGCUGAGCUCGAGUCCGGAAGAGGAGUGUGGAAUUCCUGGUGUAGCGGUGAAAUGCGCAGAUAAUCAGGAGGAACACCGGUGGCGAAGGCGGGUCUCUGGGCAGUUACUGACGCUGAGGAGCGAAAGCGUGGGGAUCAAACAGG
rnacentral:rRNA from 1 species